UACAGGGGGGGCAAGCGUUGUUCGGAAUUACUGGGCGUAAAGGGCUCGUAGGCGGCCAACUAAGUCCGACGUGAAAUCCCAAAGCUUAACUUUGGAACUGCGUCGGAUACUGGAUGGCUUGAAUUCGGGAGAGGGAUGCAGAAUUCCAGGUGUAGCGGUGAAAUGCGUAGAUAUCUGGAGGAAUACCGGUGGCGAAGGCGGCAUCCUGGACCGACAUUGACGCUGAGGAGCGAAAGCGUGGGGAGCGAACAGG
rnacentral:rRNA from 1 species